rnacentral:rRNA from 1 species
AUUGAACGCUGGCGGCAGGCCUAACACAUGCAAGUCGAACGAGUGGCGGACGGGUGAGUAAUGUCUGGGAAACUGCCCGAUGGCGGGGGAUAACUACUGGAAACGGUAGCUAAUACCGCAUACCAUCGGAUGUGCCCAGAUGGGAUUAGCUAGUAGGUGGGGUAACGGCUCACCUGGGCGACGAACCCUAGCUGGUCUGAGAGGAUGAUCAGCCACACUGGUACUGAGACACGGCCCAGACUCAUACGGGAGGCAGCAGUGGGUAACAUUGCACAAUGGGCGCAAGCAUGAUGCAGCCAUGUCGCGUGUAUGAAGAAGGCCUUCGGGUUGUAAAGUACUUUCAGUCGGGAGGCGUUACCGACAGAAGAAGCACCGGCUAACUCCGUGCCAGCAGCCGCGGUAAUAC